ACUGCAUUGAUCUCGGUAGCUACACCACCCACGGAAUUUAAAGAACCUAAAGGAGCAUGGGUCAUAUAUUCCUCGGAACGCCGUUCCUGCCAAGGUUGUAUGUCUUUUUUCAACCUACUCAAGUCUAACCCAUUUGGACCCCUUAAAGGCUCUAACCAUGGAGCACGCAGAUCCCAAAAACGCAUAGUUUAUCCUCCAAAAAUGACUUCUCCGGUAGGGGAAUGCAUUAGAUAUUUACCUAAACUAGUAGGUCCUUGAGCGGAUCCCACGUUAGCCCCAAGGCAUUGGUCUCUAACUAAAAAAGUAAAUGCUUGAGCUUGAGAAGCUUCUAGUCCAGUAGGUUCAUAAAAUUCACUAGUAUAAGAGGUAUUAUUGAACCAGACAAAACAACAAGCAAUGAAAUGAAAGACGGCUAAAUCCCCUAAACUAUAAGAUAAGUAAGCCUCUCCAGACCAUACAAGUGCGUGUCGAGCCCAUGCCAAGGAUUUGGUUAAGAUAUGCUAGAUUCCAUCAAGUAUACAAAUGGAACCUAACCAUACAUGUCCUCCGAUUAUAUCUUCUAAAUCAUCCACACUAACAAUCCAUCCUUCCCCUCCAAAAGGGGAUUUUAGUAAAUAACCAAAUAUGAUACUCGGGCUAAGGGUCAAGUUGGUAAUUUUUCUUACAUCUCCCCCUCCCAGAGCCCAGGUAUCAUAUACGCCCCCAAAAUAAAGAACCUUGAAUACUAGAAGAAAAGAACCUAUACCUAACAAGAUUAAGUGAAUACCUAAAAUUGUGAUCAUUUUAUUUCGAUCUUUCCAUACAUAACCAAAGAAGGGAAAAGAUUCUUCAAGUGUCUCAGGUCCCAGAAGUGCAUGAUAAAUGCCGCCAAAGCCCAAUACUGCAGAAGAAAUUAAAUGAAGUACUCCAGAUACAAAGUAUGGAAAGGUGUCUAUAACUUCACCCCCAGGGCCUACCCCCCAACCUAGAGUAGCUAGGUGGGGAAGUAAAAUCAAUCCUUGUUUAUACAUAGGAUUCUCGGGUACGAAAUGGGCUACUUUAAAUAGGUUCAUUGCUCCGACCCAGAAUACGAUUAAUCCAGCAUGGGCUACAUGAGCCCCUAGUAGUUUACCGGAUAAAUUGAUAAGUUGGGCAUUCCCGGCCCACCAAGCGAAACCAGUGGUUUCUUGGUCACAACCAGCUAAGGCUAAAGUUCCAUUAAAGAGAGUUUCCACGUGGUAGAACCUCCUCAGGGAAUAUAAGGUUUUCAUGAGGCUGAUCUUGAGCUGCCAUCCAAGCGCAAAUACCUUUGUUUAAGAGAAUAUUUUUGGUGUAGAAAGUCUCAAAUUCAGGAUCUUCCGUUGCGCGAAUUUCCUGAGAAACAAAGUCAUAGGCACGUAGGUUCAGGGCUAGACUGACUACUCCAAGAGCACUCAUCCAUAAACUGAUUACUGGUACAAAUAACAUAAAGAAAUAUAACCAACGUUUAUUGGAAAAAGCAACCCCAAAGAUUUGGGACCAAAAGCGGUUAGCGGUGAUCAUUGAAUAAGUUUCUUCGGCUUGAGUUGGGUUAAAAGCACGGAAUGUAUUUGCACCAUCACCGUCUUUAAAUAAAGUAUUUUCUAUGGUAGCACCAUGAAUGACGCAUGGCAAAGAAGCACCCAAUACACCGGCAACUCCUAUCAUAUGAAAGGGGUUCAAGGUCCAAUUAUAAAACCCUUGAAAAAAUAGGAUGAAUCGAAAUAUAGCUGCUACACCAAAACUAGGUGCAAAGAACCAACCAGACUGACCUAGUGGAUAAAUCAGAAAUACA